rnacentral:rRNA from 1 species
CACGUAGGGCGCGAGCGUUGUCCGGAAGUAUUGGGCGUAAAGAGCUCGUAGGCGGCCUGUUGCGUCCGCUGUGAAAGCCCGGGGCUUAACCCCGGGUCGGCAGUGGAUACGGGCAGGCUAGAGGUAGGUAGGGGAGAAUGGAAUUCCCGGUGUAGCGGUGAAAUGCGCAGAUAUCGGGAGGAACACCGGUGGCGAAGGCGGUUCUCUGGGCCUUACCUGACGCUGAGGAGCGAAAGCGUGGGGAGCGAACAGG